rnacentral:rRNA from 1 species
GGUCACCGACGACCUCUUGGCGGAGAUCUUCCUCCUGCUGCCCACCCCGGCCGACCUCGUCCGCGCCUCCGCGGCCUGCGUCGCCUUCCGCCGGCUCGUCACGGACCGCGCAUUCCUCCGGUGCUUCCGCUCCCUCCACGCCCGGCCCUUCCUCGGCUUCCUAAACCACAACGGCUUCCACCCUGCCCGCCCGCCCCACGCCUCCGCGCCCGCUGCCCGCGCAGUUUCCCUCGCCGCGGAUUUCUCCUACUCCUUCCCCCUUCACGGCAGCUGGAUCGUCCGGGACGUCCGCGACGGCCGCGUCCUCCUCGACCGCACCCCCGAGGACGACGCUGGCGAGGAUUCCCCUGUCUUCACGGAGCUCGCGGUGUGCGACCCUCUCCACCGGCGGUGCCUUCAGCUCCCCCCAAUCCCUGACGACCUGGCCGCUUCGGUGGAGCACCCGCUCCGCGUGGAGUUGGAGCGCUGGUGCGAGCCCUUCCUGGCUCCCUCCGGCGAGGAGGAGGCGGAAGAAACGUCAUUCAGAGUGAUCUGGAUGGCGCAGUGCAAAACGAAGCUGGUUGCCUUCGUCUUCUCUUCAAGCACCGGAGAAUGGCAAGCCGUUACGUCUCAGGCUUGGGACGAUUUGUUAGUGGGCACCGGCGUUUCGACGGCGUCGUCCAAGAGCCCUGUGUUCUUCGGCCGACAAUACGCUUGUGCCUGCUUCUACUGGGUCAUGGACUGGAGGCAGAAAUUGCUCAUGCUUGACACUAGGAGGAUGGAGUUCUCCAUUGCCGACCUCCCACCUGGCUGCCGAAGGCCACCGAUUGCCAUUGUGGAUGCAGGGGAAGGCAGGCCUGGGAUGUUUGCUGUCCGUGAACACGAUGCAGAUGGCACAUUUGACCUCUAUUAUACCAUUAGGCAGAUCGAAGGUCCGAGUUUCAACCAGUGGCAGAUGGAGAAGACGAUCCCAUUGGAAUUCGGGUACCGGUAUUUCCUGAGAGGUGCAACAGAGAGGUACUUGCUACUACUAAGAUCAGAAGAUGACUCCCCAAGUUCAUCAUCAUUAGAGAUGUCAGACUUGGAAUGUUUCUCACUGGACGUCAAGACAUUGCAGCUUGAGAGCGUCUGCAGGUUGAAGCAUCACAUCCUACGCGCGCAGAUAUAUACUAACUUCCCACCAUUGCUAUCGUCACAGACAAUAUGA